CUGACAGGAGCCCCUGGGCCACCUGAGGACAUGCCUGGAGGCUUCUGAAAGAUGUGGCGCUGUGUCCACUCUGGCAGGAGCUAACUGGUUCCUCAGGUCAUAAGUUGAGGCUUCUGGAAGCUGGGGGCAGCAUCCACAGUGACAGGAGCCCCAGCCAUUCAGAACCUGUGGUGUCGCUUUGGGAGGACGUGGGGCCACAUCCACACAACAGACACUGAUGUCCUCAGGACACCCGGUGUAGUCUUCAGGAAAUAUGGAGAUGCGUCCAUGCAGACAGAAGACCCCAGCCUUGUCAGAGCCUGUGGUGAGGCCUAAGGAAGAUGUGGAUGCUGAAUCCACACUGACAGGAGUCUCCAGCCUCCUCAGGAUGCACUGUGAGGAUCGGGAUGAUUUGGGGCCACGUCCGUGCUGACAGGAGCUCCCAGGCUCCUCAAGUCUUAUGGUGAGGCAGAGGAAAAUGUGGGGCCAUGUCCUCCUCAGGACCUGCACUUUGGCUUCGGGACACAUGAGGCUGCGUCUAGGCUGACAGGAACCCACAGCCUCCUCAGGACCCACUGUGAGUUUUCUGGGGGACGUGGGUCCAUGUCCAGGCUGACAGGAGCCUCCAGCAUCCUGAGAACCUGCUGUGAGGCUUCCAGAGUAUGUGAGGCAUAAUCCAGGUUGACAGGAGACCCGGGUCCUCAGUACCCGCUGACUAUGACUCAGGAACACGUGGGGCCAUGUCCCCACUCACAGGAGCCCGGCUUCCUCAGGACCCCCUGGAGGACUCUGGAGGCGCCGUUGGGGGCCACGUCCAUGUCAGAAGGGACUCCUCAGAACUCUGGGGGCCUGGGAUUGCUGGACUUGUGCAAAUGCUGAACUUAAAGUGGAAUGGCCGUAAUGUUCUCGGCUUCCACGCGUCCCGUCCCAUACUCUCUAGCUCCUGCCGCCCUCCCCGGAGCUCCUAAGAGAGCAAUUGCAAAUGACCUCAGCGUGGCAGCCUGUGUUGGGGGACAAACCCAGGGAUUUGGGAUCAGGAAGACCUGGAGAUCGGGCAUCUCGGCUAUGCAGCGUGAUUUGAUGCUGCAGACUCUUAUUCCCUAAGGCUAUCUUGACAACUGACUUCGUACAUAGAAAAGUUCUCCUUUGCCUUUAAAAGAUGAGGAGCAAGUCAAAGCGUUUUUUCUCUGCCCAUCUGAUUGCUCAGAUUCCAAUCUGAGAUGUAUUGACUGUUAAUAUGGAUAAAGUACUAUCCGUAGUAGUAUUGUUAAAAUAUUCUGACACUAGUAAUUCAGAGGGAUGAUGCUUUCUCAACUAUUUCUUCACAGCUCAGUCACUCAUCAGAAAAUGCAUCUUUAUGGAUUUGGAAAUAACUGAGAGACAUUAUUACCAAUGGUCCUAUUAUUAUGUGAAGGAUUCUUCCCUGAAAUUCUUCCCCUUUUUCAACUGACACUGAAACACUGUGAACUCUUUGGAAGACAAAUGUCAAGGAGAUAAAUUUUAUGCCUUGCUAAUUUUAAAUGCACUUGCAAUAUGGUGUCUAUUAUAAUAGAAGUUUUUUAAUCUGAUUUGUGCUAUUUAUUAUCCUUUCCUGCUUUUCAGGUUGAGAAGGCAUUGUACGUGUUCAUAAGUGUUUUUCUUUCCUUCUGAUAUAAAAUUUUUACUUUGUUCCCAACGAAGGAACUCUCUAAGAAUAAGGCAAAAGUUACUUCAACUAUUCUUGAAAUGUCUUCACACUUGGAGCCUGAUUUAUUUAACUCAAUUUUCAAAAUAAAUCUUAUUUAUUGGAAUAAAAACA
rnacentral:lncRNA from 12 species